rnacentral:rRNA from 1 species
AGAGUUUGAUUCUGGCUCAGAACGAACGCUGGCGGCAGGCUUAACACAUGCAAGUCGAACGGAACGUAGGGAGCUUGCUCCUUAUGUCAGUGGCGCACGGGUGAGUAACGCGUAGGAAUCUGUCCUUUUUGCCUGGGAUAGCCUCUGGAAACGGAGGGUAAAACCGGAUGAGCCCUGAGGGGGAAAUGAGAAAUCAGCUGGAGGAGGAGCCUGCGUUAGAUUAGGCAGUUGGUGGGGUAAUGGCCUACCAAACCGACGAUCUAUAGCUGGUCUGAGAGGAUGAUCAGCCACAUUGGGACUGAGACACGGCCCAAACUCCUACGGGAGGCAGCAGUGGGGAAUAUUGGACAAUGGGGGAGACCCUGAUCCAGCCCAUGCCGCGUGAGUGAUGACGGCCUUCGGGUUGUAAAGCUCUUUUACAUGGGAAGAUGAUGACGGUACCAUGAGAAUAAGCACCGGCAAACUUCGUGCCAGCCGCGGC